UACGGGGGGGGGCAAGUGUUACUCGUAAGAACUGGGCGUAAAGGGGUUCGUAGGCUGUUUAUUUAAGUUAGUAAUUAAAAUUUAAUGAAUUACUAGUACUGAUUGACUUGAGUUUAGAAGAGGGUAGUGGUACUCUUAGUGAAGGAGUAGAAUCCAAUUUAUACUAAUGGGGACCACCAACCGGCGAAGGCGACUACCUGUCUAAAC
rnacentral:rRNA from 1 species